CAGUCGCCGCGGUAAUACGAAGGGUGCAAGCGUUAAUCGGAAUUACUGGGCGUAAAGCGUGCGUAGGCGGUGAGUUAAGUCUGCUGUGAAAUCCCCGGGCUCAACCUGGGAAUGGCAGUGGAUACUGGCUCGCUAGAGUGUGUCAGAGGAUGGUGGAAUUCCCGGUGUAGCGGUGAAAUGCGCAGAGAUCGGGAGGAACAUCAGUGGCGAAGGCGGCCAUCUGGGACAACACUGACGCUGAGGCACGAAAGCGUGGGGAGCAAACAGGAUUAGAUACCCCUGUAGUCCCUGUCUCUUAUAC
rnacentral:rRNA from 1 species